rnacentral:rRNA from 1 species
CGUAGGGUCCAAGCGUUAUCCGGAUUUAUUGGGCGUAAAGCGUUGCGUAGGCGGUUUGUUAAGUCUUUCUUAAAGCCCGAAGCUUAACUUCGGAUCUGGGGAAGAUACUGGCAGGCUUGAGAGAUAGAGGGGGAGAUGGAAUUGUUGGUGAAGCAGUGAAAUGCGUUGAUAUCAACAAGAACACCAAAGGCGAAGGCAGUCUCCUGGCUAUUUUCUGACGCUCAUGCACGAAAGCUAGGGUAGUGAAGCAGAUUAGAGACCUGCGUAAUCCUAGCCGUAAACGAUGGACACUAGAUAGUGGUUUACAUCACUGUCGUAAAGCUAACGCGUUAAGUGUCCCGCCUGGGGAGUACGGUCGCAAGACUA